rnacentral:tRNA from 1 species
GUCCGUAACGCAGUGGAUAGCGCGUUGGACUUCUAAUCCAAAGGUCGUGGGUUUGAAUCCUACCUGGGAUG